AGUGGCAGACGGGUGAGUAAUGUAUAGGAAUCUACCUAGUAGUACGGAAUAAUUGUUGGAAACGGCAACUAAUACCGUAUACGCCCUACGGGGGAAAAAUUUAUUGCUAUUAGAUGAGCCUAUAUUAGAUUAGUUAGUUGGUGAGGUAAAGGCUUACCAAGACAAUGAUCUAUAGCUGAUCUGAGAGGAUGAUCAGCCACACUGGAACUGAGAUACGGUCCAGACUCCUACGGGAGGCAGCAGUGGGGAAUAUUGGACAAUGGGCGAAAGCCUGAUCCAGCCAUGCCGCAUGAGUGAAGAAGGACUUCGGGUUGUAAAGCUCUUUUAGUGAGGAAGAUAAUGACGGUACUCACAGAAGAAGUCCAGGCUAACUCCGUGCCAGCAGCCGCGGUAAUACGGAGAGGGCUAGCGUUAUUCGGAAUCAUUGGGCGUAAAGGGCGCGUAGGCGGGUUAGUAAGUUAAAAGUGAAAUCCCAAGGCUCAACCUUGGAACUGCUUUUAAAACUGCUAGUCUAGAGAUUGAAAGAGGAUAGAGGAAUUCCUAGUGUAGAGAUGAAAUUCGUAAAUAUUAGGAGGAACACCAGUGGCGAAGGCGUCUAUCUGGUUCAAAUCUGACGCUGANGCGCGAAGGCGUGGGGAGCAAACAGGAUUAGAUACCCUGGUAGUCCACGCUGUAAACGAUGAAUGUUAAAUAUGGGAAGUUUACUUUCUGUAUUAUAGCUAACGCGUUAAACAUUCCGCCNGGGUCUAC
rnacentral:rRNA from 1 species